rnacentral:tRNA from 1 species
GCAGUGCGUGGCCGAAUGGUUACGCUGUCCGCUUUGUUAGCGGAUGAUUCUGGGUUCGAUUCCCAUCUGCUCCA